rnacentral:rRNA from 1 species
AGUGAACGCUGGCGGUAGGCCUAACACAUGCAAGUCGAGCGGCAGCACAGUAAGAGCUUGCUCUUACGGGUGGCGAGUGGCGGACGGGUGAGGAAUACAUCGGAAUCUACUUUUUCGUGGGGGAUAACGUAGGGAAACUUACGCUAAUACCGCAUACGACCUACGGGUGAAAGCAGGGGAUCUUCGGACCUUGUGCGAUUGAAUGAGCCGAUGUCGGAGUAGCUAGUUGGCGGGGUAAAGGCCCACCAAGGCGACGAUCCGUAGCUGGUCUGAGAGGAUGGUCAGCCACACUGGAACUGAGACACGGUCCAGACUCCUACGGGAGGCAGCAGUGGGGUAUAGUGGACAAUGGUCGCAAGCCUGAUCCAGCCAUACCGCGUGGGUGAAGAAGGCCUUCGGGUUGUAAAGCCCUUUUGUUGGGAAAGAAAAGCAGCAGGUUAAUACCCCGCUGUUCUGACGGUACCCAAAGAAUAAGCACCGGCUAACUUCGUG